UACAGAGGGGGCAAGCGUUGUUCGGAAUUACUGGGCGUAAAGGGCGCGUAGGCGGCCUGUUAAGUCGAACGUGAAAUCCCUGGGCUCAACCCGGGAACUGCGUCCGAUACUGGCAGGCUUGAAUCCGGGAGAGGGAUGCGGAAUUCCAGGUGUAGCGGUGAAAUGCGUAGAUAUCUGGAGGAACACCGGUGGCGAAGGCGGCAUCCUGGACCGGCAUUGACGCUGAGGCGCGAAAGCCAGGGGAGCAAACGGGG
rnacentral:rRNA from 1 species